rnacentral:rRNA from 1 species
UACGAAGGGGGCUAGCGUUGCUCGGAAUCACUGGGCGUAAAGGGUGCGUAGGCGGGUCUUUUAAGUCAGGGGUGAAAUCCUGGAGCUCAACUCCAGAACUGCCUUUGAUACUGAGGAUCUUGAGUUCGGGAGAGGUGAGUGGAGCUGCGAGUGUAGAGGUGAAAUUCGUAGAUAUUCGCAAGAACACCAGUGGCGAAGGCGGCUCACUGGCCCGAUACUGACGCUGAGGCACGAAAGCGUGGGGAGCAAACAGG